CACUUUUUGCCCAGGAAAACUCUUGAGAGGUGAAGGAUGGAGAAGUAUCCACAGGCUUCACUUGUGAUCUUUUGGCUUCAACUGAGCUGGGUGAGCAGUGAGGACAAGGUGGUACAGAGCCCCCCAUAUCUGGCUGUCCAUGAGGGCGACAGUGCAACAAUCAGCUGCAGUUAUGAGGUGGCUUACUUUCAAAGCCUGCAGUGGUACAAGCAGGAAAGGAAUGCUCCUACAUUCCUGUUUAUACUACGUUCAAGUGGAAUUGAGAAGUCAGGAAGAUUAAGUAGCAUAUUAGAUAAGAAAGAACUUCUCAGCACCCUGAACAUCACAGCCACCCAGACCGGAGACUCAGCCAUCUACCUCUGUGCUGUGGAGGCACAGUGCUCCUGUGGCACCUGCAGCCUGUACCCAAAUGCUACAGCUGAUGCUCUGCAACUGGAAGACAGGGAGCUUGCAGAACUGAGCAAAAAUAAGCUGUAA